UGCUUUUUACCAAAGUUGAGGAUAUUCUUCCAGGAUUUACAAGCUUUGUAAGUGGGUGGGGAAGUUACUAAAUCAAAGGGGCGGUCCAGAAUGGAGGGAACUUGUGUCCUUCCUGCAGGAGCGAAUGCGAUGCUCACACGCUGUAUGCGUGGUGGACCGCGUGCCUAACGCUUUAGGGGUACCCGAUGCCCACCAGGUCAAUGGGAAAGGUAGACCCGGACAAGCUGCUCCUGGGUCAGCCUGUAGCGUGACCUAGCCGUUCCGAAACAUGGGCGUUUUUGCACACAAGUGACACUGUUUGAGAAACUGUUGGAAAAUAUGGGUAUGAAACUAGUCUGAAGUGAGGGGCUGGCCUGGUCAGAAAAAAAAUUUUUUAAAGAUUUUAUUUAUCUAUUGGGGCGCCUGGGUGGCUCAGUAGGUUAAGCGCUGCCUUCAGCUCAGGUCGUGAUCUCAAGGUCCUGGGAUCGAGCCCCACAAGGAGCUCCCUGCUCAGCAGGGAACCAUGCCCCCCCCCCCCACUUGUGAUUUCUCUCUCUGUCAAAUAAACAAAUAAAAUCUUAAAAAAAAAGAUUUUAUUUGUUUAUUUGAUGGAGAGACAGAGAGGAAACAAGCAGGGAAGGAGGAAGUGGGAGAAACAGACUCCCCACUGAGCAGAGAGCCCGAUGUGGGGCUCAAUCCCAGGACUCUGAGAUCAUGACUUGAGCCUAAGGUAGACACUUAAUGACUGAGCCACCCAGGCACGCCCAGAAUGGGUUUUUAAUGAAGCUAAAUACCAGGUGAGUUGUUAUUAUUUGGGGCCAGGUAUUUUUGAUGGCCCCAUAUUUAAUUUCAUUCAAAAAGUUUGUACUAAUUUUAAAUUUAAUUUUUAGCAGGUGUACCACUCAUUUGUCUCUAAUGAGGGACAAUUUUAAAAAAUUAUUGUUAACCUUACCAUCUAUUGAAUGCUUCUCAUAGCAUAGGAAUUUGCUUAGUGCUUUGAAUACACUCUCUUAUUUACUUCCUAGCUCCUAUGGAGAAUUUUUAUUCCUAUUUUACAAAUAAGCAAACGGAAGCUUAGUGGAAGAAAAUCAAGCAACUUGCUCAAGAUCACAUGCUAGUAAGUGACAGAGCUGGAAUUUAAGCCGAGCUCUGACCCCAGAGUCUGUUCCCUUAACCAUUACAUGACCCCGCAUUCACAAGUAAACAUAAACAUACGUAAAUCUAGGCAGUUUCAGGUGUAACCCUAUUUAAUCCUUAAACAACCAUGUGAGGGAGUGUUGUUAGUCCCAUUUUACAGGUGAGGAAAGAGUCGGGAAGGUUAAUUUUCUCAAAGUCACCUGUCUAAUAAAUGGUGGACGGUGUUUGAACUCUAGCUUGACGCCAGGCUCAUUGCACAAUUCUGCUUCCUACUUCUGACUCCCCGCCUCAUUUGGCUGCAGUUCCCCCAGUCAGGUGCUCACCGUUCGCUAAGUAAUGGGCACUUGGUGCCCUUGGAAUCAUCGUCCAAUGAGUGCCCAAAGUACACAUUUCCGCGCCGGCCUCCCUUGGAUGACAGGCAGGAAUAGCCGCUGAGAAGGGGAGUCGGUAAGUCAGCCUUGCGGUUAUUCAGAAACGGGUCUGUUCUGUUUAGCAUGAAUUUGCCCCUCAAGCAAAAUCAAGUCUUCCUGGACGGAGAGAACCUUGUGGUUCUGAGAUGCGGGCCCCUGAGGGACCAGCACGUUGCCCUCUGUGGUGGGCUGUCUGGUUGGACAGCUGGCCUCAGUGACUUCCCCCUCUUAGCUACCGCCAACCUCCAGCGCACUGCUGAAGCCGCACACUCUUCGUUAUUCUGACUCCCCAGCUUGGGGAUGAGUUACAGGGGAUGCGCGUGGUUUUUCUUCCAGCGCCAGCCUGUCACCGAGGUUGUGCAUAGAGUAGACAUUCCGAGCCGCUGGGAGGGAACUGCAGGUUAUCUGAUGAGUACGGAGGCAGUCAAAGGUAUUGGCUGCUUUGAAAGCCAGUGUCCUGGGGCGCCUUGGUGGCUCAGUAGGUUAAGCCUCUGCCUUCAGCCCAGGUCAUGAUCUCAGGGUCCUGGGAUCGAGCCCCGCGUUGGGCCUGCUCCCUCUGCUGCUCCCCCUGCUUGUUCUCUCUCUCUGUCAAAUAAAUAAAUAAAAAAAUCUGGGAAAAAAAAAAAAAAAAGCCAGUGUCCUAAACCAUGGUACUCUAACGCACCAAUAUUGAGCAUGUCUGAGUGGCUGGGACACAGGCCCCGCCCACAUUGCGGGCCGUGCUCAGGGGACCGCAGCUCUCCGCCUGCUGGACGCCACAGGAAGCUUGCCCCCUUCCUGAAAUCUCCAACCCUCCAGGCAGGAUGGCUCCCUGCCUCUGUGACAGGCCCCUCCCAGCCUCCCAAUACUUCUGGCAUUCAGUGCCCCUCUGGCAUUCAGUGGCAUGUGAUUGUAUUUACCUGUUCACUCGUCUGCCUUCCUCAUUAGGCUAAACAGCUUGUGGGCAGGGAACCUGUCAGCUCCAGAAGAGGCAGAGGCAGGAAGCAGAGAUGGCCUUGGGGAAGAGAUGAAGCAUCCUCAGGAGGUGUGGCUAGAGGCCCGGUCUUCCUGUUCCCAAGCAUUUGAGUCCAGUCAGGCUCCAUAUUAUGUCAUUCCUGGAAAAAGAGAAGGAAGUACAAAAUUGUAUUGAUUUCAGUCGAUGAUGGAGAAAUGUGGGUGAUCGGGCUUGCCCCAGGUCGAGUCUUCUGGGAGGCAAGGUGUAUGCUUACAAGGUGUAAGCAAGCCCCCUCACUUGCUUGAGGCUAGUGGUAGUAGGGAGGGUGUUUGCUCACACUUAGCUCACUGCUUUGGGGAUGCACCAUGUGUGCAAUGGAAGGUCUGGAAGAGGCCCGGUGUGGCACGCAGCUGGCUCUCUUGCCUGCGAUUCCCGAAGAUUCCUGACAGCCAUCUGCAGACCUUUGUUAGAGAGCAUCUUUGCGUGUUCCCAUCGCUGCCUUUAGUUGUGAAUCUGGCACAUUCUAGCCACCCAGGUGGAGCAGCCAGUGAGCCAGUGAGCUCACUGAUUGUGGAUGAGCUGUGGGUCGGGACCUUGCAGGGUAGCAAUAGACUCACGCAACCCAGAAGCACAGUCUGUUAUGUGCUCAGCAGAGUCAGCUGCUACUUUGGGUGAAGUUGUUAUCUAGACCUAAUUUGGGGGAGGGAGGGGGGUUAUUUAUUUAUCUGAGAGAGAGAGAAAUCGUGAGCUGGGGGUGGGGACAGAGGGACAAGUGGACUCCCUGCUGAGCAGGGAACUAGAUGUGGGGCUUGGUCCCAGGACCCUGGGAUCAUGACCUGAGCCGAAGGCAGAUGCUUAACCACUGAGCCACCCAGGCGCCCCAUGACCUAAUUUUUGAGUACAAAUCAUCUAUGACUAUAUUCUCGAUUCUAUUUCUUAAAGGAUGCCUCUCUGGCUUAUCUGUGCAUGACUUGGUUUCCCAAAGCCAGUAAUUCUCAAAUGUGGGUGAGCAUCAGAUUCUCUGGAGGGCUUGGGUCACCUGGGUGGCUCAGUUGGUUAAGUGUUCGACUCUUGAUUUCGGCUCAGGUCAUGAUCUCAAGGUCGUGAGACUGAGCCCUGUAUCAGGCUCCCCACUUAGUGGGGAGCUUGCUGCUCUCCCUCUCCUUCGGGCCCUCCUGCAUGUGUUUGAGGAGGUCCAGGUGGGGCCCAGAACUUCGCUUUCUAACAGAUUCCCAGGCGCUGCCAGUGCUGUGGUCCCAGACUACUGUGCCUUAAGGUCCAGGGGCCGCACGACUUUGGAGCCCAGGUAGCUCUUUUUCCCUCACCAUAGACUCCACAGCUUGGUUUGGAGAUACCCCAUGAGCCCUCAUUCAGACAGUCUGUGAAUCAAACUAAGUCAAAAAGAACAAAAUCGAGGUCCCAAUGACUGGAUGCAGCCGUGGCCCGAUGGAGAAGUCGUGGGGCCGGCUCUUGGAUGGCAGUCUUGUGUGCACCAUGCCCAGUGGGACUGCGACAGUCAGUCGUUCCAGGCACAGCCUGCCCGCACCCCUCGCCGUGUUAUUACCCGCAUGCUGGCGCCUCAGCGAGCCGCCAGUGCCCUGCCAUGCCCUGCUCCUGCGGCUGCGGAAACGAAGACUCUGAGAGGGGCUUCGUCUCCAGGUUGGGGCUGGGCCUGACUUCUGGCUGUUCGGCUUCCUCGCUGAGUAGGACCUCGUGAUCCUGUCUGGCUUAUCCCGGUUCUAGAGUUUGCUUCUCUUCCUUUGGCUGGAUUUUAAUGGCUCUCAUGCCCUUUUUUUGAUGCGUCAGACAGGACUUGGGAUCCAAGGGCUGAGGACAUGCUUUGCUCAUGCCCCCGAUCUUCCUCACCCUGCCACUGAGCACCCGGGCUGCGGCUGAGCCUGACAUUCGGCACGCAAAUGGGACUCCGUGGGUGCCAUCGCCACCGGUACAGUUAUCUUGUUUGUGAGCCAACAUUGAAGAACCUGGGAGAUUUCCUGCGAUUUCAGAUCUCUGAUUCCUUAGGAAGCGGGCAGUGCUGGGACACACUCCUGCUCUGUUCCUCAGAGCUGAAGGUGGGGCAUGAGAGCCCAGGAGAGCGCAGAGCCAUGGUCUGUGCGGGUGUGCACCUGCGCCCGUGCCUGCCUGGGCACUGGGGCAGGUAAGACAUCGCACUCAUGGUCUUGGGCCGCCCUAAUGAAGUAUCACACACCUGGCGUGAAACAGCAGAGAUGUGUUCUCUCCUGGUUCUGGGACUCAGAGGUCUGAAGUCAAGGUACUGCCAUGGCGGCAGUGGUCCUCUCCCUGUUCCCCGGGGUGGAUUGACGUGCCUGGCCCUUGCUCAGCAUUCGUGGUUGGGAGACAGGGCUCCCCAAGUGUCAGCAAGCACCCCAGGGGGCGUCUAGCUUCCUGGAGCUCACGUAGUAAGACAGCCUUGUGGCCUUAGUGCUUCACGGACAUUAGCCCACCGAAUCCCUAAAACAGCCCUCCUGGAGGGGGGCAGGCUUGUUGCCCCACAUUGUGGUAAGGAGGCUGAGGUCAGGGGGUUGACAGAGCUUUGUCAAAGUCAGAGCAGACUUGGUGUGUGGGGACAGCAGUGAGUGCCACAUCGGUCAGACCCUCUGCCCCUGUGAUAUGGGGGCGAGGGGAGCCUUUAUGUCAGCUGCCAUCCCAAAGGCCGGUGCUCGUCACAUUUAGUCCCUCCCCUGCUCUGUCUCUUCCCGGGGCGAUUACUGGGGCUCUCGGCCUGAUUAUUUUCUCAAGCCUGAAGAUGAUGUUUCUAUAUUUCCAUUUGAACAAGAUUUAGUCCAUUUUUAGGGUCAGUUUCCUCUGUCUUUUUGCAUUCUCUAGUAGAUGGUAGAACCAUCCAGAAGCCAUAACAAUAUGCUCUAAAUAACCUUUAUUUUGUGGUACUGAUCUGAGUAAAUAUAGUUCACACCAGAUGGGACUUGUUGCAAUCUAGAUUUCUGAAAGAAAGAAUGGAUUCAUUUUGAGUUUCUUUACAUUAAGUGAGUGAUUUUUUUUUUCCCCCUUGGGCAGUCAACUCCCACGUUCAAUAUUCCUAGCAUGACAUUUUGUACUGUUAUACUUGGUAAGUAAAGGCCAGCUAUUCUGACCUUCAUGUGCCAGGAGUCUGUGCUCAGAGCUCCGUUUUUGGUUUAGCUCAUAAAGGCUGCUUGCAUGUUUGUGUAUUUCAUGCAGAAAGAAGUCUUUUGGGCUAAGUCAUUCUCGGCUAGAUAUUCACAAAGUUCAUGGCUAUUUUUAACACACACCUUUACUGCUUUAAAACCACAGUUAGCAUUUAAAGCCAUGACUGGCUUAUUUCACUUUGCAUAAUACCUUCAAAUUUCAUCCAUUGCGGGAGGCGAAAUAAGCCAGUCACAAGAGGACAAGUACUGUGUAAGUCCCCUUACAGGAGGUUCGCCAGGGUAGGCGGGUUCACAGAGGCAGAAAGUUGCAUGGUGGUUGCCAGGCGCUGGGGAAGGGGGGAUAGGGAGUAGGUGUUUAAUGGGGACAGAGUGUCAGGUGGGGAAGAUGGAAGCAUUCUGGAGACCCAUGGUGGGGAUGGUUGGAUGAUGUGAAUGUUCUCAGUGCCACUGAACCAUAUAAAAGUGGUUGGAAGGGUCAAUUUUAUGUUACAUCUAUUUUACCAAAGUCGGACAACAACAACAAAAAAUUCCUACGAUGACCUAAACAACUGUAUCUAAAUAAAGCGAUGACGGAUGUAGAGAAGCCUCACUCCUGCGAUGAAAUACAACGUGCCCCACACGGACGACCGACAGUCACGUGUCUAUUUAUAUGAAAUUCGUUUUCUGUUUUAUGAUUUUCUAUAUUUUUCAAUUGAAAAAGGUCCUUGGAAAAAUAUAAAUGUCAGCUCUCUGACGAACUCUGUGACUUUGGCCACCUUUUUUGCAUUUUGAGCUAUUAUUACCCCGUACGCCAGGUGGGGAGAUUUAAAGGCGGAACAAGUAGAAACCAAAGUCAAUCGAGAUCAUCGGGCAGUGGGAUUUGAGUGGUGACAGUCAACAGCAGUGCUGGAAACUUCUUUGCUCCCCCCACCCCCGCAAGAGCAAGAGUCGUAAACCUAAGUCCUUUAAGGGCAGGGCAGGAGAUCACACAGUGUGGAGAAGGUGGGCGCAGGGCAGGGAGGGUUGGCGAGGACUGUGGCACGAGGACAGGAAGGUCUCCACGUUCAGUGAAGCAAACAGAACAAAACAAAAACUCCACGGAGUCCACAAGACACAACAGGGUUGUAUCUGGCCUGUGGGCCACCGGUUUAUAGUUUCUGCUUUUGGGUGAGAGCCUCUUGGGUCUGGGAGCAGAGAGGUCCCCCCUCUACCUUUCAGAAAAAUCUGAGAUGCAGAUAUGGACUGCUUCAGAAAGAACGGGUCUGGAAUCUGGAUCUUACACAGUAAUUUCAGGGUUCUUUUCUUCCUACCUGCUGGCUGGAGAUGUGUUUUGUUCCACCCCCCCACCCCCAAUAGUGUAUCAUUCCAAGUUUGAAUUUGAAUCUCUUUUUAAAAACAUAGAUAAAUUUCAUCUUACUGCACAAAUCAAGUCAGUGCCUAGUAUUUUUCUAUUUUAGUAAUAGCUGCACGUUCUAAAAAAAUCUAACACUUAGUGGUCACCAACAAAUUUUGAUACACACACUGUACUGCGUGUCUGCCUGCCUUUCCAAAAUUGCCGUUACUUGCAUUUGGUUCUUUGGAUUAAAAUGCAGAAGGAGUUUAUUGGUGGACAUUUUCAUAUCUCGGAUUCUGCUGGCCUUCUAAGAUACAUAGCAGGUUUUGAGAAAGGUGGAUUUUUUUAAAAAAGAUUUUAUUUUUUGAAUUAAUUUAUUUGACAGACGGAGAUCACAAGUAGGCAGAAAGUCAGGCAGAGAGAGGAGGAAGCAGGCUCCCUGCCGAGCAGAGAGCCCGACUUAGGGCUUGAUCCCAGGACCCUGGGAUCACGACCUGAGCCAAAGGCAGAGGCUUUAACCCACUGAGCCACCCAGGCACCCUGAGAAAGAUAGAUUUUUCUAUCUAUGGCUCUCAGGUGAGAACUGAGGUUAUUUUCAGGAGACCUCUAAACCAGGGCCAUGAACUGGCAGACCCAGGAGGAGUAUGGCCCAUGCAGAUGUUUUGGUGAUCAUGUUUUGGGGGAGGAAGGGGUGACAUGGCUUUAGGUCCUCAUGUGCUCGGGGGUGUCCAGCAAGCUCCCCAGCUCCCGUGCUAAUGACAUCUCCCCUUUCAUGAACCUACAGCCCUGCAGCUCCUCCCUGGCCACAGAAGGCAUGUGAGGUUGUGAUCCAUCUCACUCCAGGGACAUCACAGUGUGAGGCUCUCAAAAGGAGGUUCUCCAGGACAUGUGUUCACAACUUAAAAAUGUCAUCUGACCUUGCCGGGGACAACUACUCGUGUGGUUGGCAGACUCGUCCCCUUGAACAGGGGACAGACCUGGUUAUCUACCCUCGUGGGAGGGGUGAGUCCCAAGGAGUGGCGAAGGAGACCCCAUGUGUAUAGAAACGAAAUUCGUGACCAUUCCAGCCCAGCGCAGCCCGGUACGCAUGUCCAGAGCCAUCCCCCCAAGCCCUGCAGGGCCAUCAACAGAAGGCAUGAGGAGACCAUAGUCUUUUUAUUCUGCACUUGCUGGGCAGCAAGUUCUGAGCAAAGUUCUUGUGCAUAGAAGGUUAGAACCCAUGUUACUAACAAGCACUGGCUCUGAGGGGGAGCUUGGGGGACUUCCUCAGUCCAGUUUGCUUAGAACCUCCAUGGUUUUAGCGACAAAAAUCCCUCACCCUGGGAAACCUCUCGGUCCCAGGCAAACUGGAACAAUUCGUCCCCCUGGGGAGGGGCACACGUUUUACCUAAAUGAGCGGGUGCAAUAUAAAGCAGGAUGCGGAAGAAGGGGGCCGAAAGGACCGUGGAGGUCAAGUCCCCAGGGCGUGUGGUCUGCCUUGCAGAUACUGGCCAGAGAGCACUUGCUUAAAUUUUACUCUGCUUGGUCCUUGAAGGGACGGGGGCCCUUUGGGUUGGAGAGAAGCUGAAAGGCUUCGUGGGGCAGCGAGGAAAUCCAGGGGAGAUUUGAAGGGAGAGCCAGGAAUAUGCCAGCAGGAAGGCGGAAGGCUGGGCCCUGGGCCUCCUGCUAAGGAGCUCUUGGCUCUUCUCAUCCAGCUGGAAUUGCCUGGGUGGUCCCAGCCACGGUGUCAGGAUACCUCUAGGAGUCUGGCUCUGCCCUUGGCCACUUUCUCUUUUAAAUCCCUGGAAUACAAAGUGAUCAGCUGACAUCACUUUGUCUGGGAGAACUUGGAUCCCAGCUGCCCCCUGGGCUGGCCCUGAUGUCUCCUGUUCUUGCUUUCUCUCUGACCUGCUGUCCCCCCUGCUCUGGGUGGGGUUGGGGGACUGGAAAAUGCCCGCACCCCCCCCCCCCCGCCUCCCCCCUGAUGAGCCUCAUUCUUGGCGCCUGCUCACGGACUCUUUUUGGAGUCCCACACCUGCCUGGUAGCUUCCUGCCAUUCCUUCGGGAAACACGAUUGCUGAUUACCCUCCCAACCUGAACAACAGAGAUUCCUGCUUUGAGAGACCCUGACCUUCGAAACAAAAAUCCUGUGUCAUGCUUUGUCUUCCCAGAGGUGAGCAGGGCACCGAAGAGAAGGAAGGACCUGUCGCAUCCGCACGGGCUCCUCUCCUCUUGAGCCAGACUGUGGGUUGUCCACGAGCAAGUGCACAGCUGGUUCGGGGGCUGCUGGGGCAUCCGGCGCCGCUUCCUGCCCACACUGGCUCUUUAUUAAGCGCUGAGUGUUGGGGCCAGUGAUGGGACCCCACUGCAUUAGGGAAUGGCCCCGCGGUAAAACUUCUUACUCCCACAGCUGCUUGUCCCCGCCAGGAGGAGUGAGGUUUGGGCAGCACAGGCCUGAGAAGCGUGAGAUUGAGGGAGGUUGUCACUAAUCGACAAGGACAUGCUAUGUUGGCUCCGGCUUUCCGUUAACCCAGCAGCACAUGGCUCCUGGGGCACAAGGAUGAGCUGGAGAGCUGUGGUCCUCGUGGGGCGGCCGGCUCAGCAGUGCGUGCAGAUGAAACGAGAGGCUGGGGUGAGCAGAAAGGGACCUGGCAGGGCCUCCGACGUGCCCAGGAGCUACACCGUGAACCUGGCAGGAGGGGGUCGGUGUUGCACGGCGGCGCACGGAGAGUUUUCUAGCCCCCCCCCACCCCGGGCCUGCAGAGCUCCCUCUGCACAUAUCACCCUCAGGGACCCGGGUCUCCCCACAGCUGGCUGCUUGGUGUCUGCGCCCGAGAGGCCAGUCGUAGAGGCCGCGGAGUCUCCCUCCAAGGCGCUUCUCCUCCUUCGUGCGAUGAUCCUGGGGUCUGUGGCCAGGAGCAGGUGUGUUUGUGAUGACAUCAGAGUCCUGGUGAGCUGAGCCUUUUCUCAUGAUUUUAUGACCAUCUCUGUCCUUCAGAGAACUUGGUCGCAAGGUCGGUCCCUGCUGGUGGUGCUCCCCGGCUUGUCCGCUGCCAUUUCCUGGCUUUGCACAGUCUUGGGUUUAUGCGUGUCUUUGGCAAAUGACAUUUAUCCAGAUUUUUUUCAACAGUGUGUCAGUUAAAAAAAAAACAAACUGUCCCUUUGUCCCUCUGACUGACAGGUUUAGUCCAUCUUAACUACUGAUUUGGGCCCGUUUCUACCAUUUUCACUUGUUAGGUCAGCUUUUCCCUCUUUUCCUGUAUUUCUUUGUAACCCUCUGGUCUUCUGCGUUGGCGCCUGUGUGCGCGCCUCCAAGUGCAGGACGGGGCAGCUGCUCACAUCUUUGGUCUCGCCGACCCCUUGGCUCCUCUCGCAUCCGGAACACCUGCCGCGUACUUCCACGGGGCUCCAGGGCUCAGUUACCCCUGCGGGUGUCAGCUACUCUGUCAGGCCUUGCGUUCAGCGGGGAGGGCUGAGGGUGAGUGGAUGAACUCUGAGGGGAGAGGCCCGUGUGCAAGCAAGCUUGGAGCCACCCUAUAGAGACUGUAAUCCCCAGCCCCCCGGCUUGUUUGAGGGGUGGUGGGAGGCUACAGAAGGGACCACUAGGGGCUUCUUGGUUUCCUCAGUUCUUCCCAGGGCCUCUCAAGAUCAGGGUUUCUGUGGGCCCUGGUCUCACUCCUGGGGCUCCGGGAGCAGGCACAGGAGUGACCAAGCCAGGCCCCGUGGACCUCGAGGCCGUGCGAGGAGAAGCUGGCACAAACCACCGCCACCCCCAGAUCCUUUUCCUCUUUCCUUCUCCCACAGUCCCACCGCCUUCUGCCUGAGUCUAAGCCCACCACCCCUGUGGUCAGGAGCUUCCAGGACUCUCUACCAUUGCACGAAUUCUCUUCCUCUGGGUCAGACGCGCUGUCCAACACUCACUGCUCUGUGUGUGGUCUGGACCAGCGGCAGCGGCCUCCCUGGGAAGUUUUUUAUAAUCGUAGAAUUUCAGGCCUCAGCUUGGACCUACUACAUCAGAUUUUGCAUUUUUUAAAAAAAUAUUUAUUUAUUCAUUUAUUUGUCAGAGAUAGAGCACAAGCAGGGGGAGUGGCAGGCAGAGGGAGAAGCAGACUGCCUACUGAACGGGGAGCCUAUGUGGGACUCCAUCCUUGGGACCACGACCUAAGCCGAAGGCAGACGUUUCACCAACUGAGCCACCCCCGCAUCCCUGACUUUGCACUUUUUAAAAAGCAGCUAUAUUGGGCUGUGACUGACGAGCAAUGAGAUGCGCGUAUUUAAAGCUCACAUUCUGUUAAGUUUUGGCAUCUGUGUGGGCCUGCAAAGCCAUCACCACAUUCAACACCGUGCAAAGCUCAUCCUUGCAAAAGUUUCCAGUGCCCCCGGGACCCCUCCCACCUACCCCCAACCUCACGCCUUCCUGAGCCACCACUGGUCUGCCUUUCAUCACUAGAGCUUGGUUCGAGGUUUCCAGGGUAUUUUCCUGGCUGCUCUUGUCUGGCGAGAGUAAUUACCUUGAGAUCUAGUCUCAUGGUUUGUGCGCAUUCCCGGUUCAUUCCUCUGAUGGCUGAGUCCUACCUGUUGCAUAGACCGACCCCAGUUGCUUUAUCCAGGCACCAGCUGAUGGACGUUUGGGCUGUUGCUAGUUUCCGGCCAUCACACAGAAAGUUGCUGUGAAUGUCUGCAUACAAAUCUCUAAAGAGACUUGUUUUCUUUUCUCUCAGGUAAUUACCCACGAGUGGGACGCUGGAUCAUAUGGUAGGUGUCUCUUUGGUCUUUAAUGGAACUCCCAAGAUGUUUUCCAAAGAGGCUGAACCAUUUAACAUUCUCAUGAGCAACAUCUGAGCGUUCCAGUUCCUCCACGUCCUCGUUAACACUUGGUGUGGUCUGCCCUUUUCCUUUUCGUCCUCCUGGUGAGGGUGUGAUCGCAUCUCGUCAUGGUUUAGACUUGCAUUUCCUUCAUGACUAAUGACAUCUUUUCAUGUGCUCCUGUGCCAUUUGCAUAUUUCCUUUGAUGAGGUGCCUGCUCAAAUCCAUGAACUGUUUCGAAAUUGUGGUGUUUGUUUUCUGAGUUUCAGGAGUUCCUUAUCUUCUGGAUAAAAUUUGUUUUGUUUCUGUUUUGUCCUUCUCGGGACUUGGCAGACUCUUUCAUGUGAGGACUUAGGUCUCUCUUCCAUUCUGGAAAGUUUCAUUAUUUCUUUCUCCUCUUUCUUCUUGUUUUGAAAUCCCUGGUAGUGAAGGCUGAGUGUCCCUUGGCUUUUCCUUCCCCUUUUUGUCCCCGUGUUAAGCACAGGCACCUUCCCUGGUGCCUGGGGCUUCACUAGGGAGCCAAAGCAGCAAACAUCCCUCCUUAGUCGGGAGACGGGGUGAAUGCCGCAGUCUAAUAAACCAGCAAGUUAUUCCCUCUGUUACAAGGUGAGCUUUGCUGUGGAAGAACACAGAACAGGGGAGUGGGGAGGGGAGCCUGCAUGGAGAGUUGGGGGAGGGUUAGGGCUUGUCUCACCAGGAAGGGAGGUAAAGACCUGAAGGAGGAGGCAGGUCAGCCACACACAGAUCUGGGAAGAGCUUGUGGGGGUGCCAGAAUGGUUGGAGUGGAAGGAGAGUGGGGGGUUGUGAAGGUGUCCGGUCAGAGGGGAGCAGGGCCAGGCCCUGGGGCAGGGGGUCAGUUUAGAUCCUGUGAGGGGUGGGGAGGCCAGGCAGGAGGCUUUGCAGUUGUCUGGGGAGGGAUGGGGCUGCAGCUUUCUGAGGUAAUCCGGGUCCUCCGAGAAGCAGCGGGACUCAAGGUUUGCAUGAAGGAAAGGGGAAACGGGAAGAUGGGAAGCAGGUGCAGAGGGCAGGAAGAGCCCCGACAGCCGUGCACGUCGGACUGGGAGGCAAGGAGGGAAGGCUGGCAGCAUUCUCGAGGGCCUGCUGCCCCAGCAAGGCCGGGCACAGCCAUCAGAGGAGGCCCUGUCUCCUAGGAAUGUCCUUGCUGCAUAGGUCAUGGCUGGGAGCUGCCAUGGGAAGCUUGGAUCUCAGAGGUCAGCAGCUGGGCCCGGAGGCCAGUUAUCUUCCCUGGAGGUGGGGGUCCUCGACCUCACGGCCGCCACAUCCUUCUGGUCAUGACCAGCCUGGUCCUUUCCCUUCCCCUCACCCCCUGAUUAUAGAGGCCCAGGUCAAGUGACCCUGAACCAUGUGUUUGUCACAGGCUCUUGGCUGCUUCCCCGCCUGCAUCCUUUUCUUUGGAGGUCAAGCCCUGAGUUGACGGGUGUUGGGGUUAAAGAGAAGCUGAUUCUUUUGCUGCCGUGUAGGUCCCAGCAGAGGGGAGAUGGAAAAUCAGGUCACGAGGUCUAGGAAAGAAUGUAGGUUAAUUAAAGUUUAAAACAGAGAUCUUUCUGCAGUUUUUCCAUGAGUCAGCAUCGUGUCUGGGGCAAGAGGCACGGGCACACUGGGUCCGAUGGGGUUGAACCUGGGGCUAUGAUUAGGGUGAGGGCCCCCACUGGAGGGAGCAGGCCGGGCUUGCUUGCAAGUUUCCAUGCUUUUAAGCAGCAUUGGCAGCCCCCUGUGAGUAUCCUUGGCUGCUUGGGGGGUGGGGAGGGUCCUAACUCAGGCUGAGAAUCCGGGCCAGCCGUAUGUGUGAAUCCUAUUUGCUGCAUGAAGCUGGCGGCCCGGACCGUGGGCGACUUCUUGGGGGACGAGAGCGGCCGCAAGGGGAAGAAGGGCUUUGGUGGUGGCAGUGUUUGGGUGACCUCAUGACCAUCUGUGGAGUAAAUAAAGGUGGACAUGAUCUUGAGGAAAAUUGCUGAGUCCUGGUGUCACUCUGGAGGAGGCAGAGGUGGCCCCAGGGAGAAUCCACUCACCCGGGGCUGGACUCGACAUUCCCGGGGGCUCAUGUCCCGAGAUCCCCCAUCCCAGGCAGAAGCUUCUCCGGAUGCUUCUCCCUUCCUGGGCGAGGAGAAGAGUUGGACCGGGAUCCUUGCUUCCUCCAUUUCCCCUCCGACUUCAGGGGAGGGGAGGCCGCACCCACGCCUUCCACCAGAAGGCCAAGGUGGGGGGCUGUCAGACUGGUGUCCUUGGCCCUGGGGAGGGGUCUGCUUAUCUGAGCUCGAAGUCCUCCCUGCGUUCCGGACACCAGCAAUCAGUGCUGACACCACGUGUGCAUGGGGCAGUGAGGGGAACGUGCACGUGACUGUGGGUCACGGUCAUAAGUCCAAGAAGAGGGGCGCCUGCGUGGCUCAUUUGUGAAGCGUCUGCCUUCGGCUCAGGUCAUGGUCUCAGGGUCCUGGGAUCAAGCCCCGCAUUGGGCUCUCUGCUCAGCGGGGAUCCUGCUUCUCCCUCUCCCUCUGCCGCUUACCCUGCUUGUUCUCUCUCUCUCUGUGUCUCUGUGUCAAACAAAUAAAUACCAUCUUAAAAAAAAAAAAAGCGUGAGAUGCUCUCAGAGGGGCUCUGCCUCGACACUGAGUGUGUGUGCUUGGGGAGGCAUGUGGGUAUGAGCCCCCCUCCCCAGCCGUCCCCUGGAAUCAUCAGGCAAAGGCUGGAGGAACCACUUGGGCUCGGUCUCCCUUGAUUAUAAUUCCUGUGCUGCAAGCUCACCCCCCAAGGUGAGGGACUGCGGUGGGGGGCGUUCGGAGGUGAUUAGGUCGUGCAGGUGAAGCCUCCUGAGUGGGAUCGAUGCUCUUGCAAAGGAGGCUCUGGGGAGCCCCCCAGCCCCUUCCAGCCAUGUGAGGUCACGAACAAAUCGGCUGACUGAACUGGGACGCGGGUUCACCGGACACCGCAUCUGCUGGGUCUGUUGCAGACUCAGCCUCCAGCACUGUCAUCUGUGAGCCCCCCUGGCUGUGGGAUUGUUACAGCAGCCCAAAUUCAGGCAGGUGAGUAGGGCCCCACAGUCACCACCUGCCCCCUUUGCCUGGGCCCCGGGGCUUCCGUUGCUAAAACCCAGCCGAGUUUGUCCCUCCUGAAGGCCCCGGCAAUACUGUGGAGACCUUUCAGCUUGGAAAGUUGCUGUAUGUCUUGGAGACAUUCUGGAGACUGUGAAGAACAUUUGUCUCAACGUGGCCGCUUGGCCUCCCUGGCACCUAGGCAGGAGCUGGGCAGAGAGAGGCUGGCCGCUGGGGUCUGGGACUCUGGAUUUGAGGUGCUGUCACUGACCCUUGCCCUGGAACCCCCCCUGCCCCCCGGAGCCAGCUUUCCUAGCUCGCCCAGGUCUUCCCAUGGUCUUAAGUGACUCUUGGCCCCCCACCAGACUUGGUCAGCAGGAUCUUCUCUGGUGUUUGCCUGGGGAGGGAGGGGCGCUGAGGAAGUAGGUGAAUGAUGGAACCGGCAGAACUUUACCUACAAGGCUCCUGGACACUUCUGCUCAUAGCACGGGGAGUAUAAGCGAGGCAGGCACGGGCAUCUCCUUGUGGACAGUUCAGGAAUCCAGGCAUCCCAACGAGGAAGGACGUCUAAGUCCCCGCAGUGCUGACAGUACCCCAUACCCUGAAUUCCUCCCCUCCAUAUGGCCAGGGACCUCCUGGGUUGAGGGGACCCUUUCCUUCUUUAGGCUUCAUCACUUUACAGAUAACUUCUGGAACUCUGUAAGAAUAAAGGGAUAGCUUCCUUUGUCUACAGCCAGCUACGUGUCACCUGUUACCGCUGAAUCUAGAACAAUCCGCCCUGGAAGUGCCGCCAUCGGGUCUCAAAUACCCCUCAGCUGAUGCCAACCUCUUGUUACAUAGACUUUCUUGGGCACUGCAUUAUCGAGAUACAACAUUCGCAAGGAGCCCGUGAGGUCUUUGAUCCUCAUACUUUUC